AAGCUCCAAGAACUCAAAAAGCUCCAAUUGACCCAUCACCUAUAGCUCAUCCUUCAACUCUCUUGUCUUCCUUCUCCAUAGUUCAAAUAAUUCAAGAUAACCAAAUAACUUCCACCUCAAGCCUUUUACAUCAAAUUCACUAAAAUAUAUGUCAUAUUAUGUGGCAUUUGCCUUAAGAAUGCCCUAGGCACUUGGCUGUAGAAGAUAAAAGGAAAAUUGCAACAAUAAGUCUUAACAACUCUAAUAGGUUUUUAAAUAAAUUACAUUUAAAGAUUAGCACAUAUAAUCAAAUAUCAAUCAAAUUCAAUCAAAAUUAUAAAAAAAUUAUGUAAAAAAUAGAAAUUAUUCUUAAAGUUACUUUAAAGAAAUCAUAAAGAAAUAACAUAGGAAUUCAAAAAUAUACUAAAAUAAAAAUCUUAAUUAAAUCCUAGUCAAAUCCUAACCAAAUUCUAAUCAAAUCCUAACCAAAUUCUAAUCAAAUCCUAAUCAAUCCUAAAUAAAUCCUAAUCAAAUCCUAGUCAAAUCCUAAUCAAAUCCUAGUAAAAUCUUAACCAAAUCCUAACCAAAUCCUAACCAAAUCCUAAUCAAUCCUAAAUAAAUUCUAAUCAAAUCUUAAAAAAAUCCUUAAAAAAUCCUAAAAAAACCUAAACAAACCCUAACCAAAU
rnacentral:lncRNA from 1 species